AAAAGGCCUCGUACUAUUAGAGUUGGACAUCUAUUUAUAUAUUAGACACUCCUUGUCUAAUUCUCCAAUGUGGGACUUAGUUUGUUAUAUCACAUUCUCCCCUUCAAACUAAGGAUCACAUUCAUCUCGUGUCCCACAACUGACUUCCAGAAUCUUCUGACUUGAUUUCUGCCACACACCUCUCAUUCCUAACUCAUAGGAUACCCAUUCAUCACUCAUUCAUCACUCAAAGGGUAUUUCGGUCUUUCUUGCAGAUUUCUCGUCAACCGGCUCUGAUACCAAUUGUUGGGAUUGUGAAAUCCCGUGUCCAACUCUAUAUUAUCCGAUUAGUACGAUAUUGUCCACUUUGGGCCUAAUUGGCAAGCCCGCAUGGAUUUACUUUUGGUUUCCAUCCCAAAAGGCCUCGUACUAUUAGAGUUGGAC
rnacentral:lncRNA from 1 species